GCUGGGCGUGGUGGCUCACGCCUGUAAUCCCAGCACUUUGAGAGGCUGAGGUGGGUGGAUCACUUGAGGUCAGGAGUUCAAGACCGGCCUGACCAACAUAGUGAAACCCCAUCUCUA
rfam:Homo sapiens chromosome 13, GRCh38 reference primary assembly.